GGAUGGGAUCAUACCAGCACUAAAGCACCGGAUCCAAUCAGAACUCUGAAUUUAAGCGUGCUUGGGCGAGAGUAGUACUAGGAUGGGUGACCUCCUGGGAAGUCCUCGUGUUGCAUUCC
rnacentral:rRNA from 2 species